UACGGGGGGUGCGAGCGUUGUCCGGAUUCACUGGGCGUAAAGGGCGCGUAGGCGGCUGGCUCAGUCGGGCCUGUAAGUGCGGGGCUCAACUCCGUGAUGGGUCCGGGACGGGCUGGCUGGGGCGCGGUCGAGGGAGACGGAAUGCCGGGUGUAGUGGUGAAAUUCAUUGAGAUCGGAAAGAACACCAACGGCGAAAGCACUCUGCUGGGCCGACACUGACACUGAGAGACGAAAGCUAGGGGAGCAAAUGGG
rnacentral:rRNA from 1 species